rnacentral:tRNA from 1 species
CGUAGUUCAGUCGGUUAGAGCGUCAGAUUGUGGUUCUGAAUGUCGUGGGUUCGAAUCCCAUCG